rnacentral:misc_RNA from 1 species
GAUGAGAACGUAGCGAAAUGCGAUAAGUAAUGUGAAUUGCAGAAUUCAGUGAAUCAUCGAAUCUUUGAACGCAACUUGCGCCUUUUGGUAUUCCGAAAGGCAUGCCUGUUUGAGUGUCAUAUAAACCUCACCUCUACUGUUUUUCAUUAGACAUGUGGACUGGUGCUUUGGGCGUCUGCCGUUUACUCUGGCUCGCCUUAAAUGUCUAAGUGGAAUGCGUAAUAAGUCUUCGCAACCCUCCACUCUAAUACAAACUUUUAUAUUCUGACCUCAAAUCAGGUAGGACUACCCGCUGAACUUAAGCAUAUCAAUAAGCGGAGGA